AAAAGCUGCGCUAUUUGGAGGAGUUUGAAUCCAAAACUGUCACGCAAUGCUCCCUCCUUGAAGCUUGAAGCAGGACCUAUCAGAAUAAGGCUGAUGAUGGUCACUACAAUGUGUGCUGUGGGAAUGAUGUCCUUCCAAGUGCCAAAAUUUGCAUUUGAGCAAAAUAAAGUCCAAUUAGGAAUGAGAAACCCUGAGCAAGCAAGUGAGGCGAUCGCAGUGUUCAAGACAAAACCAUGCCUACCCUGAGUUCAGACAAAGCAGUAAGAAAAAUUGGCGCAGCUACAGAGCUUUUGGUAUAGUCUAAUGCCAGGGAAAGGAUAAUCACCUUCAUUUUCUUCUCAUUCUCAUCAGAAUCAUUUUCAUCAUCAGGANNNNNNNNNNGAGUACAAGGUGUCCUGUGGGAAUGAUGUCCUUCCAAGUGUCAAAAUUUGCAUUUGAGCAAAAGAAAGUCCAAUAAGGAAUGAGAAACCCCAAGCAAGGAAGUGAGGCGAUUGCAGUGUUCAAGACGAAACCAUGCCUACCCUGAGUUCAGACAAAGCAGUAAGAAAAACUGGCACAACUACAGAGCUUUUGGUAUAGUUUAAUGUCACGAAAAGGAUAAUUACCUUCAUUUUCUUCUCAUUCUCAUCAGAAUCAUUUUCAUCAUCAGGAAUGCCUAUGCCAACAUGAUCAAUUGGACUGUUCGUUGCUCUCUUCUUCUGAAUCAACAAAACAAUACGUCAGAGAGCAAAAAACAAAACUAGGAGGAUAUGGACAGGGAGAGGAAAGAAAACGAUGCAAGUUGUUCUCACCGCUAUUUCCAUCCCAGUAUUUUUAUCAGAGUAACUGCUCCUAAAAUUCGUAGUGUUAUUUGGAACAAUUGGAACUAGUGCAUGUUCCUCAGCAUUUUUGCCACCAUGGUUGCUUGCCUCAGCUCCCACAGGAUUGCUAGCAUGCUGAGCAUUGACGAGUCGAUAAGACACAAUGUCAUUAUGUUCAUGACAUUGGGGCAACAAUAAAGGAAAUAAUCAAAGGGAAGUGGGAGCAUAUACCAUGCCGC
rnacentral:lncRNA from 1 species